UGAGGAAUAUUGGUCAAUGGGCGCGAGCCUGAACCAGCCAAGUCGCGUGAGGGAUGACGGCCCUACGGGUUGUAAACCUCUUUUGUCGGGGAGCAAAUUCCGCCACGUGUGGCGGAGUCGAGAGUACCCGAAGAAAAAGCAUCGGCUAACUCCGUGCCAGCAGCCGCGGUAAUACGGAGGAUGCGAGCGUUAUCCGGAUUUAUUGGGUUUAAAGGGUGCGUAGGCGGACUGUCAAGUCAGCGGUAAGAUACGGGGGCUCAACCUCCGCCCGCCGUUGAAACUGACGGUCUUGAGUGGGCGAGAAGUAUGCGGAAUGCGUGGUGUAGCGGUGAAAUGCAUAGAUAUCACGCAGAACUCCGAUUGCGAAGGCAGCAUACCGGCGCCCAACUGACGCUGAAGCUCGAAAGUGUGGGUAUCGAACAGGAUUAGAUACC
rnacentral:rRNA from 1 species